GACGGAGGAUGCAAGUGUUAUCCGGAAUCACUGGGCGUAAAGCGUCUGUAGGUGGUUCGAAAAGUCCACUGUUAAAAAUUGAGGCUUAACUUCAAAGAUGCCGUGGAAACUUUCAAACUAGAGUAUGGUAGGGGUAGAGGGAAUUUCCAGUGGAGGCGGUGAAAUGCGUAGAUAUUGGAAAGACCACCGAUGGCGAAGGCACUCUACUGGGCCACUACUGACACUGAGAGACGAAAGCUAGGGGAGCAAAUGGG
rnacentral:rRNA from 1 species